rnacentral:misc_RNA from 1 species
UCUCCGUUGGUGAGCCAGCGGAGGGAUCAUUACCGAGUUUACAACCCCCAAACCCAAUGUGAACCAUACCAAACUGUUGCCUCGGCGGGGUCACGCCCCGGGUGCGUCGCAGCCCCGGAACCAGGCGCCCGCCGGAGGGACCAACCAAACUCUUUCUGUAGUCCCCUCGCGGACGUUAUUUUUACAGCUCUGAGCAAAAAUUCAAAAUGAAUCAAAACUUUCAACAACGGAUCUCUUGGUUCUG